CCUACGGGAGGCAGCAGUGGGGGAUAUUGCACAAUGGGGGAAACCCUGAUGCAGCGACGCCGCGUGUGGGAAGACGGUCCUCUGGAUUGUAAAUCACUGUCCCCAGGGACGAAGAUGACGGUACCUGGGGAGGAAGCUCCGGCUAACGACGGGCCAGCAGCCGCGGUAAUACGUAGGGAGCGAGCGUUGUCCGGAAUUACUGGGGGUAAGGGGAGCGUAGGCGGGACUGCAAGUUGGGUGUCAAACCUACCGGCUCAACCGGUAGCCGCACUCAAAACUGCAGUUCUUGAGUGAAGUAGAGGCAGGCGGAAUUCCUAGUGUAGCGGUGAAAUGCGUAGAUAUUAGGAGGAACACCAGUGGCGAAGGCGGCCUGCUGGGCGUUUACUGACGCUGAGGCUCGAAAGUGUGGGGAGCAAACAGGAUUAGAUACCCGUGUAGUC
rnacentral:rRNA from 1 species